UGGGGGAUAUUGCACAAUGGGGGAAACCCUGAUGCAGCGACGCCGCGUGGAGGAAGAAGGUCUUCGGAUUGUAAACUCCUGUCCGAGGGGACGAUAAUGACGGUACCCUUGGAGGAAGCACCGGCUAACUACGUGCCAGCAGCCGCGGUAAAACGUAGGGUGCGAGCGUUGUCCGGAAUUACUGGGUGUAAAGGGAGCGCAGGCGGAUCGUCAAGUUGGGAGUGAAAACUACGGGCUCAACCCGUAACGUGCUUUCAAAACUGGCGGUCUUGAGUGGUGUAGAGGUAGGCGGAAUUCCCGGUGUAGCGGUGGAAUGCGUAGAUAUCGGGAGGAACACCAGUGGCGAAGGCGGCCUACUGGGCACUAACUGACGCUGAGGCUCGAAAGCAUGGGUAGCAAACAGG
rnacentral:rRNA from 1 species